rnacentral:rRNA from 1 species
GGUUAAGCGACUAAGCGUACACGGUGGAUGCCCUGGCAGUCAGAGGCGAUGAAGGACGUGCUAAUCUGCGAAAAGCGUCGGUAAGGUGAUAUGAACCGUUAUAACCGGCGAUGUCCGAAUGGGGAAACCCAGUGCAAUUCGUUGCACUAUCGUUAACUGAAUACAUAGGUUAACGAGGCGAACCGGGGGAACUGAAACAUCUAAGUACCCCGAGGAAAAGAAAUCAACCGAGAUUCCCCCAGUAGCGGCGAGCGAACGGGGAGCAGCCCAGAGUCUGAAUCAGCUUGUGUGUUAGUGGAACGGUCUGGAAAGUCCGACGGUACAGGGUGAUAGUCCCGUACACCAAAAUGCACAGGCUGUGAACUCGAAGAGUAGGGCGGGACACGUGGUAUCCUGUCUGAAUAUGGGGGGACCAUCCUCCAAGGCUAAAUACUCCUGACUGACCGAUAGUGAACCAGUACCGUGAGGGAAAGGCGAAAAGAACCCCGGCGAGGGGAGUGAAAAAGAACCUGAAACCGUGUACGUACAAGCAGUGGGAGCACCUUCGGGUGUGACUGCGUACCUUUUGUAUAAUGGGUCAGCGACUUAUAUUCUGUAGCAAGGUUAACCGUAUAGGGGAGCCGCAGGGAAACCGAGUCUUAACUGGGCGUUAAGUUGCAGGGUAUAGACCCGAAACCCGGUGAUCUAGCCAUGGGCAGGUUGAAGGUUGGGUAACACUAACUGGAGGACCGAACCGACUAAUGUUGAAAAAUUAGCGGAUGACUUGUGGCUGGGGGUGAAAGGCCAAUCAAACCGGGAGAUAGCUGGUUCUCCCCGAAAGCUAUUUAGGUAGCGCCUCGUGAAUUCAUCUUCGGGGGUAGAGCACUGUUUCGGCUAGGGGGUCAUCCCGACUUACCAACCCGAUGCAAACUACGAAUACCGAAGAAUGUUAUCACGGGAGACACACGGCGGGUGCUAACGUCCGUCGUGAAGAGGGAAACAACCCAGACCGCCAGCUAAGGUCCCAAAGUCAUGGUUAAGUGGGAAACGAUGUGGGAAGGCACAGACAGCCAGGAUGUUGGCUUAGAAGCAGCCAUCAUUUAAAGAAAGCGUAAUAGCUCACUGGUCGAGUCGGCCUGCGCGGAAGAUGUAACGGGGCUAAACCAUGCACCGAAGCUGCGGCAGCGACACUAUGUGUUGUUGGGUAGGGGAGCGUUCUGUAAGCCUGCGAAGGUGACCUGUGAGGG